rnacentral:rRNA from 1 species
CCUACGGGUGGCAGCAGUGGGGAAUAUUGCACAAUGGGGGAAACCCUGAUGCAGCGACGCCGCGUGAGUGAAGAAGUCUUUCGGUAUGUAAAGCUCUAUCAGCAGGGAAGAUAAUGCCGGUACCUGAGUCAGCAGCCCCGGCUAACUACGUGCCAGCAGCCGCGGUAAUACGUAGGGGGCAAGCGUUAUCCGGAUUUACGGGGUGUAAAGGGAGCGUAUACGGCAUGGCAAGUCUGAAGUGAAAGCCCGGGGCUCAACAGCGGGACUGCUGUGGAAACUGUUAAGCUGGAGUGCAGGAGAGGUAAGUGGAAUGCCUAGUGUAGCGGUGAAAUGCGUAGAUAUUAGAAGGAACACCGGUGGCGAAGGCAGCUUACUGGACUGUAACUGACGUUGAGGCACGAAAGCGUGGGGAGCAAACAGGAUUAGAUACCCUAGUAGUC